AGUUCAGCCCAUUCUAAGUUCCGUACGUUACAAUUAAUUAACUAAGGACAACCAAAAGUCCUACAAUGUUCACAUUUGACUGAAAGACAACGUUACUAGCCUCUUCAUGUGCAACAUCCAGACAGAAACAAACAAAAUUUGUCAAGAGAUAGAAGGUAAAGCGGACACAAAAGGGUGUGGCUAAUAUUGUCUACAACGAGUAUUCAACAACCUACAGCCUCAGUACGUAAGAACCAACUCUCAUAAGUUCCUCCCACCUGCCAAAUGCUUGGAUGUACUAAUGACUCAAAGUUUCUUUUAGGACAUUGAUUAUUCCCCUCAUGCUAUCUAUAAGUUUCAAACAAUUUGUGGAGCCCAAAAUGCAAUGAAACCACCUGCAACAUACAUUAGUUGAUAAAUAUUCACAAGUACAGGGAGAAGCUCAGAUCAAGUAUAAUCAAGCCCCACUGAUUAUCUUAUCAUCAGUCUAGCAACCUAACGAGACGCAACCUAACGAGACAUCCCUCUUAAGGUGAGGAUUCGCUUCUAAAUAAAAUCUACUCAACGUCGCUCCAAAUGCUAAAUAAACUAUACGAGAACAUAUGUGAGCAAGUGAAAAAAGCACACAAACAGAAUUCACACAUAUCACCAGACUCUCACAUAGUGACAUGACCACUACAUUGAUGCCUCCAACAUAUUUACAAUCGUCGCUAAUAACGUUCCUCCCAGGGAAUAAACGGCCGGUCAGGCCUAUCCUUAAAACGGAGCUUUACAACAAAUUUAUCGGAUUACAGAUAUAAGUCAAUUCUCAACAGCCAACGACAACACAUCACGCAGCCUCUUCAC
rnacentral:lncRNA from 1 species